AUACUGCUUUCUGUGUUGUCUUUGGAGACUUUAGAGCUGCCCCCUUAUUUUCGUCCUCUUCAGUGGAGAAAUGAAAAGGCCUGUGUGCACUUCACAGGAAAUGAAUGUCUGAUACAAGCUUGCAGACUGCACAUUUCCAAGAACUGCUCUCAAGAAACCAACCAUGCUUGCAGACUUGCCUGCCUUGAAGAGUACUCGGAACACAUCAAACUAUCUUGUGGGUUUUCUUUGGGUAAAAAACCUUUUAGCCUGUAUCAGCAAAGUGUCACGCUAAAGCAGAAAGCACAUGUCAUGGAAAAGUAUGACAAGAAACACAAAACUGAAACAUCAAAUCCAUGGAAAGGAAGAACUUGCUCUUAAGUGAAGCCUUGCAAAAUCUAGGAAAUGCUGCAUCGAAGCUCUUGAAUUUGGACCAGUUCCAGGCCUGAUGUCCAGAAACUCAUCCUUAUGGAUAGUAAAUUUAAAGAGGUAAGCUCUUUCAAGUAUCCUAAAGCAAAAGUGCACGAACAAAUCGGAUCUGAGUACUUGAAAC
rnacentral:lncRNA from 1 species